UCCUUGAUAUUAUGAUCUUCUGUAUGUGCAAGUAGCACACGUACUACUUCAGUGUGCCCUUCGUUAGCUGCUAUGUGAAGAGCGGUUUCAUUUUUCUUGUUUUGACAGCAUAAUAAUGCUGGAGUAAUCUUAAGGACUUCUGUCGCGAAAUGGAAGUGGCCAUAGAGGACUGCGACAUGAAGGUUUCGUUUUUCUUGUUUUGACAGCAUAACAUUGCCAGAGUAAUCUUAAGGACUUCUGCCGCGAAAUGGGAGUGGCCAUAGAGGGCUGUGACAUGAAGGACAGUGUUUCCCUUUGGAGUGACUUGGUAGCCGUUUUCUUCAUCCCUUUUCAGAUGAUCAGCAAGUAGAAAAUUGACAUCUCCGAUAUUGCCUCUCAUCGCAGCAGUGUACAAGAUUGGAUCCAUUCCUUUUGAUAAUCCUGUGAGUCCUUUGCUUUCCC
rnacentral:lncRNA from 1 species